rfam:Streptomyces gancidicus BKS 13-15 Contig0048, whole genome shotgun sequence.
GCGAGACGGGGGGACCCGUGGCGACGUACGACCGAUAAACUGUUCCACGGACGGCGUCGGGUGCAGCCCCCGCCGUUCGCCCAUGAUCAGCCAGCAGCCGCUGCAACCCCAGGGAG